UCCAACGACCGUACCUCAAACCGACACUGGUGCGCGAGAUGAGUAUUCUAAGGCGCUUGAGAGAACUCAGGAGAAGGGACUCGGCAAAUUGACACCGUAACUUCGGAAGAAGGUGUGCCCUAUUGGUGUGAAGUGAACAACGGAGCAUGAAUGGGUUGCAAAAAAUCGGUGGCUGCGACUGUUUAUUAAAAACACAGCACUCUGCAAACACGAAAGUGGACGUAUAGGGUGUGACGCCUGCCCGGUGCUGGAAGAUUAAAUGAUGGGGUGCAAGCUCUUGAUUGAAGUCCCAGUAAACGGCGGCCGUAACAAUAACGGUCCUAAGGUAGCGAAAUUCCUUGUCGGGUAAGUUCCGACCUGCACGAAUGGCGUAACGAUGGCCACACUGUCUCCUCCUGAGACUCAGCGAAGUUGAAAUGUUUGUGAUGAUGCAAUCUCCCCGCGGAAAGACGGAAAGACCCCAUGAACCUUUACUGUAGCUUUGUAUUGGACUUUGAACAGAUCUGUGUAGGAUAGGUGGGAGGCUUUGAAGCAGGGUCGCUAGAUCUUGUGGAGCCAACGUUGAAAUACCACCCUGGUGUGUUUGAGGUUCUAACCUAGGUCCAUUAUCUGGAUCGGGGACAGUGCAUGGUAGGCAGUUUGACUGGGGCGGUCUCCUCCCAAAGCGUAACGGAGGAGUUCGAAGGUACGCUAGUUACGGUCGGACAUCGUGACGAUAGUGCAAUGGCAUAAGCGUGCUUAACUGCGAGACUGACAAGUCGAGCAGAUGCGAAAGCAGGACAUAGUGAUCCGGUGGUUCUGUAUGGAAGGGCCAUCGCUCAACGGAUAAAAGGUACUCUGGGGAUAACAGGCUGAUACCGCCCAAGAGUUCAUAUCGACGGCGGUGUUUGGCACCUCGAUGUCGGCUCAUCUCAUCCUGGGGCUGUAGCCGGUCCCAAGGGUAUGGCUGUUCGCCAUUUAAAGAGGUACGUGAGCUGGGUUUAAAACGUCGUGAGACAGUUUGGUCCCUAUCUUCCGUGGGCGCUGCAGAUUUGAGGAAGCCUGCUCCUAGUACGAGAGGACCGGAGUGGACACACCUCUGGUGUAUCGGUUGUCACGCCAGUGGCAUUGCCGAGUAGCUAAGUGUGGAAGAGAUAACCGCUGAAAGCAUCUAAGCGGGAAACUCGUUUCAAGAUGAGAUCUGCCGGGGCCUUGAGCCCCCUGAAGAGUCGUUCAAGACCAGGACGUUGAUAGGUCAGGUGUGGAAGCGCAGUAAUGCGUUAAGCUAACUGAUACUAAUUGCUCGUGCGGCUUGAUCA
rnacentral:rRNA from 1 species